AGGUUGACCUUCGGAUCAG
rnacentral:rRNA from 1 species